rnacentral:rRNA from 1 species
GACGAACGCUGGCGGCGUGCUUAACACAUGCAAGUCGAACGGAAAGGCCCGGCUUUUGUGGGGUGCGCGAGUGGCGAACGGGUGAGGAACACUUGAGUUACCUGCCCUUGACUUUGGGUUAAGUUCAGGAAACUGGGGCUAAUACCGGGUAGGAUCUCCUGCUGCAUGGUGGGGGUUGGAAAGUUUCGGCGGUUGGGGAUGGACUCGCGGCUUAUCAGCUUGUUGGUGGGGUAGUGGCUUACCAAGGCUUUGACGGGUAGCCGGCCUGAGAGGGUGACCGGCCACAUUGGGACUGAGAUAAGGCCCAGACUCCUACGGGAGGCAGCAGUGGGGAAUAUUGCACAAUGGGCGGAAGCCUGAUGCAGCAACGCCGCGUGCGGGAUGACGGCCUUCGGGUUGUAAACCGAUUUCGCCUGUGACGAAGCGUGAGUGACGGUAAUGGGUAAAGAAGCACCGGCUAACUACGUG